rnacentral:rRNA from 1 species
CAAGGAAUAGUAGACAAUGGGCGCAAGCCUGAUCUCGCGACGCCGCGUGAGGGAUGAAGGCCUUCGGGUUGUAAACCUCUUUUUUCAGGGAUGAAUAAUGACAGUACCUGGAGAAUAAGUCACGGCUAACUACGUGCCAGCAGCCGCGGUAAAACGUAGGUGGCUAACGUUAUCCGGAUUUACUGGGCGUAAAGCGUGCGUAGGUGGUUAGAUAAGUCAGAUGUAAAAUCUCCUGGCUCAACUGGGAGGGACCAUCUGAUACUGUUUAGCUGGAGUACAGAAGAGGAAAGUGGAAUUCCCGGUGUAGUGGUGGAAUGCGUAGAUAUCGGGAGGAACACCAGUGGCGAAAGCGGCUUUCUGGUCUGUUACUGACACUGUUGCACAAAAGCGUGGGGAGCAAACAG